GCACAAGCGGUGGAGCAUGUGGUUUAAUUCGACGCAACGCGAAGAACCUUACCUGGGCUCGAAAUGUAGUGGAAUCCGGCAGAAACGUCGGCGUCUAGCAAUAGACCGCUAUAUAGGUGCUGCAUGGCUGUCGUCAGCUCGUGUCGUGAGAUGUUGGGUUAAGUCCCGCAACGAGCGCAACCCUUAUCUACAGUUGCUACCAUUUAGUUGAGCACUCUGUCGAAACCGCCUCGGAUAACGGGGAGGAAGGUGGGGAUGACGUCAAGUCCUCAUGGCCUUUAUGUCCAGGGCUACACACGUGCUACAAUGGCCGGUACAAACCGUCGCAAACCCGUGAGGGGGAGCUAAUCGGAAAAAGCCGUCCUCAGUUCGGAUCGUAGUCUGCAACUCGACUACGUGAAGCUGGAAUCGCUAGUAAUCGCGGAUCAGAACGCCGCGGUGAAUACGUUCCCGGGC
rnacentral:rRNA from 1 species